GGUGGUGUAGAGAAUAUAAAAAAAUUCAAAAUGAGCUGAUCAUCUCUUUGGUUAUUUCCUUCCGUACGUUAUGGUGUUUCGCCUCAGUUUCUAAGCAAAUGUACCCAAGGAACUCUCCGAAUAUAUUCAUAAAAAGUCAAACAUAUUUCUCCUUCUACCUUUCCAUCCCCCCAUAUGGUUCAGAUUAGAACUACUACUUCCUUACAAUUUAAACUUAAUCAGUUCAAUCAUUUUAUUCUUAAUUACCACCUAAUCUAAUGCACUUCUGCAAUUAUGGAUUCAUAUAUUAAUCAGCUUAACCCGUUGUCCAUACAAUGCGUCCUUAACUGGUUCCUAGCUAGAAUAUUUAUUGAACACAGUUGUAUUAUCAUCAAAUAGAUUAAGGUAUACACACUAACAGAUUAGCAUGAAAGGAAGUUUAAAUGAUCAGGUUAUUGGCAAUAGCGAGUUAUUUUGGUAUUUCGCUGCUUUUUUUACAUUCUGCUUCGGUCAAUAAAAUAAACAAGAUAAGCUCCAACACAAAAUGAAAUAUAUAGGGGGAUUUCAUUAAUAUUGGUAAUAGUACUUUCCUUUGUAAGUAAUUGGUAUUGUAAUUACUAACGUUACCUUUUCUUCAUUUUCUUAACAGGCCCAAACUUUUAAUGUUGAGGGAGAAAUAUCACUACCAUGUGAAUUCCAGUUCUUUUACGUGCUUUUAUGCCCAGAGUGUAAGCACUUGGUACGAAUCAAGCGGAAGAAGGAGGUCCAAUGCAUUAACUGCAAGCUCCACAGAAUGCUAAUUCCAAGAUGCGAAUUUGAAGUUGAAAUCACAGAUGGUAGCGGAACAAUAGUAGCAACAGUGUCAGACAAAUUGGCUGAAAGAAUGCUCUCAAUGACAGCAGAACAAAUAUAUGAAACUACCGUUAUCAAGGUGCACAUACAUACAACACUAACAUUAAUUCAUCUUAUGGAAUUUUAUUGAAAAUCUUUAAAAUUAAUGAUUCAACAACGUUUGAACUUCUUUGCACAGAAACAAUUGUUACCUGUUGAGCAUAUCAGGGAAGAACUGUUGCACAAAUCGUUCAAAAUUCACCUACAGAAGUCAGUAUUCUGGACACCGGAUAGAACCCCAGGCUCAUUAGUCGUUUUAUCUUACAGCCAAAAACAAACCAUGUUCGAUUCACCGCAAUGCUCAACACUGAUAACCAUUAGCGAGGGAACUAAAAGAAAGAUAGAUUAUAUCACUCCUACUGAAGAAGAUCCCACUUCGUCAACACAAGAUGUGUCAUUGAGCAAAAAAUCAAAAAAACACUGAAGACCAGGAAGCAGAUUUAGAGCAGCAACUAUAACUACUUUUUGAUAUCCUACAGCAGCUAUAACACUUAUGUUUGAAGCAAAUUUUGAUGCAGUUGUUCCCUGCAGUACAAUACUUCAAAUUUUGUGUAAAUAAGUGUGUGCUGUGCGUUUUUAUAUGCUUGUAAAUGUGGGAAAUACUUGUUUUAGCUGCUAUAGUUCGAAACAAAUUUUGAUGCAGUUGUUCGAUGCAGUACAAUACUCCAAAUUUUGUGUAAAUAAGUGUGUGUACUGUGCGUUCA